CGGGGUGCACCAGGCGCGAAAACUUUACAAUGCCGGCAACGGCGAUAAGGGAACCUCGAGUGCCAGGUUACAAAUCUGGCUGUCGUGAUGCCUAAAAAGCAUUGCAUAGCAAGGGCCGGGCAAGACCGGUGCCAGCCGCCGCGGUAACACCGGCGGCUCGAGUGGUAACCGUUAUUAUUGGGUCUAAAGGGUCUGUAGCCGGCCGGGUAAGUCUCUUGGGAAAUCUGGCAGCUUAACUGUCAGGCUUUCAGGAGAUACUGCCUGGCUCGAGGCCGGGAGAGGUGAGAGGUACUUCAGGGGUAGGGGCGAAAUCUUGUAAUCCUUGAAGGACCACCAGUGGCGAAGGCGUCUCACCAGAACGGACCUGACGGCAAGGGACGAAAGCUAGGGGCACGAACCGGAUUAGAUACCCGGGUAGUCCUAGCCGUAAACGAUACUCGCUAGGUGUCGGCCACGGUGCGACCGUGGUCGGUGCCGUAGGGAAGCCGUGAAGCGAGCCACCUGGGAAGUACGGCCGCAAGGCUGAAACUUAAAGGAAUCGGCGGGGG
rnacentral:rRNA from 1 species